GCACACUCCAAGCAGUAUCAGUGCAGUUGUAGCUUGAAAAACAUCCCCAAAAAGCUCCAGAAAUUGCUUCGCACGCUCACAAAAAGAGCGAUGGGACUGGCACAAGGUCAGUACAUGGUACAGGUGUAGCUGAGGGGUGAGUGGGAUGUUUUUCCCAACAGGAGGAACAGGCAGCCAACAUGACCAAGUUUAAGAUAAGGUGGGAAAGAAAAGGUCAGUAGAUUAAAUUCUUCUGCUUCAAAUUAUCACACAGAGCUAGGAGAGGUAUUUAUUAGAACAUACCAAUAUGUUUCCAGAUGUUAAACAAGGAUUAAGGGCAACAUAGCCCCAAAACAAGGGGCUAAUGUGCAGAAGCUAAUUCCACUACUAGAAUAAGGAUAAAAUAGCUCAGAAAUGGGGGUUUCUGGUGCACAGGCCCCUCCCCUCACCCCCCCAACCUGUGCCACUUCUUCCCUGGCACUUACAUAUUUAAGUACCCUUCUUCAUGCUUCUGGUUGUUGAGAUGACCUCUGGCACUUUCCCAGGUGCUCACAAGGAACCCUGCUGAUCCUCCCCGUGGUGUAGUUAAAAGGUCAUGGGGGACUGGGAAGCAUCUGAGCAAUUUAAUAUGGAGCUGGGUGUGAGUGGGGUGGGUCCAGCCCCAGGCAGGGCAGCACAUUCUCAGGCUUUAUCCCACAAGCUGUGCUGAGGAGCUGGAUUUUAAACUGUUCCCAGUCUGGGGCAGAGGCUUUUCUUCAUAACUAGGGACAACAGGAUAACUAGAAAUCAGAGGAUUUUUCUUCUUGCUCUUCAAACCUUCAAGUUUCUAGGAAUCCCACAGAGAAGAAGAGGAAGUGAGAACAUGAGAGGGAAAACAACAUGGUGGCACUGAGGUCAGUGGAAACAAGGAGGGGGAAGAGGAGCUUCGAGUGUUGGAGCUGAGAAUCCUCUGCAGGUCGUGGAACACAGCCUUGACCAAAGUGCUGCAUCCUCCAUGGAGGGAAGGAGUGAGAGAAGAGGGAAAGUGCAGGGGUUUGGUCUCAAAACCAGGUUCCAGUUCCCAGCAGGACCCAAGGCAGGCAGUGCUGAUGUGGUCAGGCACCAAUGCUCUCCAUAAUGGUGACUUUGAAGCUGGAGGAGCAGCAGGUCAGGACCAGCACUCCUCUCUGGGACCCCAAACUGCCCAUCUCACAUGGGGCAGGUGGGGACAUGGGACCCCAUUUCUCCAGCCAUGCAGUCCUUGAAAAUGCCUCCUGAAAUGAAGGACCCAUCUUGUGUUUCUUUCUUUGGUUGAGGCUGGAGUGUGGCUGAUAGGAGACAAAUCCACCUUUUUCCUUCCUUUGAUGACAAAAAUGCCAACUGAAAAGAAACCUUCAGGAAUCUGCUGCCAGCAGAAGGGAGCCAGGCUGGGGUGGAUCUGCCAUGCACGUGUAACACAGCUCUUGACUGCACCUGGGCCCAGGAUUUUCCAGUAAGAGACUGAAAUGUCCAAGAUUCCCUGAUUUCUCUGAUUUUCACUGCCUUGUUUUCUCAAUCCUUUUGGGUACACUUGCCUUGUUUUGUCAGGAACUGCCAAACCUCAGCAAAUAAGCAGAAAACUGCAUCCCAAAUGAAUUCUGUAGCAGAACAUCAUAUCAGGCUGUUGUCCAAGGUCCUUCCCUUCAACACAUCUGCAUUAGCAGAGCAGAAAAGAAGGGCAUCUCUCUAAAAAUAAAAUUAUUGAAUAUUUAGGUGCUGCUAUUUUCAUCAUACGUUGUUUUAAAGCUUCAGUUCACUUGGUGCUUUUUUAAGACUUGGGGGAAGGAAAGCACCUGUAUUACCUACAAAAAUGGUUCUGUUUGUAGCCCCUGGGCACAGACUGGCCCAGAAACAGAGGAAGUUGAGGGCAGUGGCUGUGGAAGGUAAGGAGGCAGAAAGGGGAGGAAAACUGGAGCUGAUGUCUUGAUCCUGCUUUGUUUGCUGCUGCCUGAGCCCUCCUCCCUUCCCACCCUUCCAGCUGGCCCUGGAGCCCAAGGUGCAGAUCAGAAAGCCACGUGGUAGUCUUGGGAUGCCUUGUUUGUCCUGGAUGCUGGGAGAUGGAAACACAGAUUUCCAGGAAAAUUUACUGGCACUAAACAGAUUUACCAUUGUGAGGGAGUUUGGAUUUCACAUGUGAAGGUGGGGAUGAAGGAUCCAUAGCUCCAUCCCCCCCUACAGUGACUCCAGCUGAGGCCCAGGACACAAAAUCCACCUUUUGGUGGAAUUGAGACCACCCAAGAGCCACACUUACAAAGCAGGUGGACAAAUCACAGCGAAUGAGGACUGGUUUCUUAUCUACACUUUUCAUCUGACAUCACUUCUUCCUAUCUAGUCACUUGAUCUGCCUUCUAAAUCCAAACUUCAGUAUUUUUAGUUACCUAAAAAAAG